rnacentral:rRNA from 1 species
UUCGGUGGUCAUAGCGUGAGGGAAACGCCCGGUUACAUUCCGAACCCGGAAGCUAAGCCUUACAGCGCCGAU